rnacentral:rRNA from 1 species
UACGUAGGUGGCAAGCGUUUGUCCGGAAUUAUUGGGCGUAAAGCGCGCGCAGGCGGUUUCUUAAGUCUGAUGUGAAAGCCCACGGCUCAACCGUGGAGGGUCAUUGGAAACUGGGGAACUUGAGUGCAGAAGAGAAGAGCGGAAUUCCACGUGUAGCGGUGAAAUGCGUAGAGAUGUGGAGGAACACCAGUGGCGAAGGCGGC